CUGCCUUCUCUCCUGGCUGCAUCUUCCAUUCUCUCCUCCUCUUCCUUCUGUCCUCUCUAUUUCCUAUUCUAAAUAAAGCUUCAGUUAAAGAGAAAAUGUUCAAACAAAAAUCUGUAUGCCAUUAAAGUAAAAUGUUUUAUUUCGUUCUUUCCAUUAAGUACAAAUAUUGUCUAAUUUUUGUGUUUAUAUGUCACCUUUCCAAGAUCAUGAG